GUGAUGACGGCUGGUAUUGCCGAAGGCAGGGGCCGUUGAGGAGGGACACCAGUCUUUGA
rnacentral:snoRNA from 1 species